rnacentral:rRNA from 1 species
CCUACGGGAGGCAGCAGUGAGGAAUAUUGGUCAAUGGACGAGAGUCUGAACCAGCCAAGUAGCGUGAAGGAUGACUGCCCUAUGGGUUGUAAACUUCUUUUAUAUGGGAAUAAAAUGUUCCACGUGUGGGAUUUUGUAUGUACCAUAUGAAUAAGGAUCGGCUAACUCCGUGCCAGCAGCCGCGGUAAUACGGAGGAUCCAAGCGUUAUCCGGAUUUAUUGGGUUUAAAGGGAGCGUAGGUGGAUUGUUAAGUCAGUUGUGAAAGUUUGCGGCUCAACCGCAAAAUUGCCGCUGAAACUGGCAGUCUUGAGUACAGUAGAGGUAGGCGGAAUGUGUGGUGUAGCGGUGAAAUGCUUAGAGAUCACGAAGAACUCCGAUUGCGAAGGCAGUUCACUGGACUGCAACUGACACUGAGGCUCGAAAGUGUGGGUAUCAAACAGGAUUAGAUACCCCUGUAGUC